UGGGGAAUCUUGCGCAAUGGGGGAAACCCUGACCGAGCGACGCCGCGUGGGUGAUGAAGAUUCUCGGAUCGUAAAACCCUGUCAGGUGGGAUGAAAAACCAUUCGGUUAAUACCCGAGUGGCUUGACAGUACCACCAGAGGAAGCUCCGGCCAACUCCGUGCCAGCAGCCGCGGUAACACGGGGGGAGCAAGCGUUGUUCGGAUUCAUUGGGCGUAAAGAGCUCGUAGGCCGCUCUGUAAGUCGGAAGUGAAAGACCACGGCUCAACCGUGGAAACGCUUUCGAAACUGUGGAGCUUGAGGCCGGGAGAGGAGAUCGGAAUUCCUGGUGUAGCGGUGAAAUGCGUAGAUAUCAGGAGGGAACACCAGUGGCGAAGGCGACCACCUGGACUGAUACUGACACUGAGGUGCGAAAGCGUGGGGAGCAAACAGGAUUAGAUACCCCCGUAGUCCCUGAGCGGGCUGGCAAGGCGCAU
rnacentral:rRNA from 1 species